rnacentral:rRNA from 1 species
UACAGAGGUGCCGAGCGUUAGGCGGAAUCACUGGGCUUAAAGCGUGUGUAGGCGGACUUCUAAGUACCUUGUGAAAUCCCACGGCUCAACCGUGGAACUGCUGGGUAUACUGGUUGUCUUGAGCCAGCUAGGGGCGAGCGGAACAGACGGUGGAGCGGUGAAAUGCGUAGAUAUCGUCUGGAACGCCGAAGGUGAAAACAGCUCGCUGGGAUUGUGCUGACGCUGAGACACGAAAGCCAGGGGAGCGAACGGG